GUGUGCACUUCCGAUCUACUGGCAUUUUGUGGGUAAAAGCCACUAAAGAGGCAGGUAAACAUCGUUCAAUGUGCAGGACGCCACCCUCAACAACACAGAAUUAUCCAGCCCCAUGGCUUUAGGACC